GAUGAACGCUGGCGGCGUGCCUAAUACAUGCAAGUCGAGCGAACGGACGAGAAGCUUGCUUCUCUGAUGUUAGCGGCGGACGGGGGAGUAACACGUGGAUAACCUACCUAUAAGACUGGGAUAACUUCGGGAAACCGGAGCUAAUACCGGAUAAUAUUUUGAACCGCAUGGUUCAAAAGUGAAAGACGGUCUUGCUGUCACUUAUAGAUGGAUCCGCGCUGCAUUAGCUAGUUGGUAAGGUAACGGCUUACCAAGGCAACGAUGCAUAGCCGACCUGAGAGGGUGAUCGGCCACACUGGAACUGAGACACGGUCCAGACUACUACGGGAGGCAGCAGUAGGGAAUCUUCCGCAAUGGGCGAAAGCCUGACGGAGCAACGCCGCGUGAGUGAUGAAGGUCUUCGGAUCGUAAAACUCUGUUAUUAGGGAAGAACGUAUGUGUAAGUAACUGUGCACAUCUUGACGGUACCUAAUCAGAAAGCCACGGCUAACUACGUG
rnacentral:rRNA from 1 species